rnacentral:lncRNA from 1 species
UACCCUCCAAAUUUUAAAUCAUUAUGAUUUGUAAAAAUAAAAAUAAAAAUUGAAAUACUACCAGACAAUUGUGACCGUGCGAUGAACUUUGGACGGUGAUGAGCACAUGCGAAAUCAUUGUUCAUUUCACCUAUAUAUAUAGAAUAGUGAUCUAAUGUAACGAUUGCAUCAUAGUAUAAUGCAACCACACUUCUAGAAAACCAUGUUUGUGAUAUUUAUAAGACCCAAAAUUUUGCACACACAUUAUUUUCAUGUCAAUAAUCAAUAUUCAAUAAAAAAAUAAUAAUUUGAAUCAUAGAUAUGGUCAAAAUGUAUCCCCACCAACAACGUAUCUAGAUCAUUCAUUUGGUGAAUUUU